GAGUUUGAUCGUGGCUCAGAUUGAACGCUGGCGGCAUGCCUUACACAUGCAAGUCGAACGGCAGCACGGGAGCUUGCUCCUGGUGGCGAGUGGCGAACGGGUGAGUAAUGCAUCGGAACGUAUCCUGGAGUGGGGGAUAACGUAGCGAAAGUUACGCUAAUACCGCAUAUUCUGUGAGCAGGAAAGCAGGGGACCUUCGGGCCUUGCGCUAUCAGAUGAGCCUAGGUCGGAUUAGCUAGUUGGUGGGGUAAUGGCUCACCAAGGCGACGAUCCGUAACUGGUCUGAGAGGAUGAUCAGUCACACUGGAACUGAGACACGGUCCAGACUCCUACGGGAGGCAGCAGUGGGGAAUUUUGGACAAUGGGGGCAACCCUGAUCCAGCCAUGCCGCGUGAGUGAAGAAGGCCUCGGUUGUAAG
rnacentral:rRNA from 1 species